rnacentral:lncRNA from 1 species
GUUGGUGUGUUUGAGAUUUGGUGUGCGGGUCCCAGACGCAGCUGUUGUAUUCUAGCUUUGGUCUUACAAGUGCAAUGUAUGCUUUUUCUUUGACUGUUUUUGAGUUGACUUUUAGAUUCCUUUUAAUAAAGUUCAGCUUUUGUGUGGCUGCAGCUGUGAUAUUGUUUACAUGUUUGUUCCAUUUCAGAUCAGUUUGUAUAGUUAUUCCCAGAUAUGUUGUGGAUGUUUCUUUUUAAAGUACAUGUUGGUGGAGAGUAUAGUCAAAAUUUAAUGGGUUUUUCUUAGUUGUUAUCUGAAGGACUGAGCACUUGUCUGGAUGGAAUGACAUGAGCCAGUCCUUCUCCCAUUUUGCAGCUGAUGUGAGAUCUUCUUGCAGUUUUUGUGUGUCUUCUUUGUUUCGUAUUGUUUUAUAAAUUAUGCUAUCAUCUGCAAAUAAUCUGAGGGUACUGUG